GUCAGUCUGGCCGUGGACGCCGCGCCGUACAGACGGGCAGGAAUAAAAUAAAGUGUAUGAGCUGAAAAUCCUAUGAACUCUCGAGUGUAUUAUUGAUCAUGAAAACAGUUUUUGAAAAUAAUCCUAAAUUUAGGUUUGAGUUAUAUCUCCGGUGAAUU